rnacentral:SRP_RNA from 1 species
GCCGGGCAUAGUGGCACACGCCUGUAAUCCCAGCUACCUGAGGAGGCUGAGGCAGGAGGAUUGCUUGAGCCUGGGAAGUCGAGGCUGCAGUGAGCACUGAUCACGUCACUGCACUCCAGCCUGGGUGACAGAGCAAGAUCCUGUCUCAA